rnacentral:rRNA from 1 species
UACAGCGGAGGCAAGCGUUGUUCGGAAUCACUGGGCUUAAAGCGCGUGUAGGCGGCCAUGCAAGUACUUUGUGAAAUCCCUCGGCUCAACCGGGGAAUUGCUUGGUAUACUGCAGGGCUUGAGGCGGGUAGGGGUGCUUGGAACUCUAGGUGGAGCGGUGAAAUGCGUAGAUAUCUAGAGGAACGCCUGUGGCGAAAGCGGAGCACUGGGCCCGACCUGACGCUAAGACGCGAAAGCGUGGGUAGCAAACGGG